rnacentral:rRNA from 1 species
UUAAUCCUACGGGACGCAGCAGUAGGGAAUUUUCGGCAAUGGGGGGAACCCUGACCGAGCAACGCCGCGUGAACGAAGAAGCUAUUCGUAAUGUAACGUUCUUUUCUCAGGGAAGAAAGAGGAAUUUGACGGUACCUGAGGAAUAAGCUCCGGCUAACUACGUGCCAGCAGCCGCGGUGAUACGUAGGGAGCGAGCGUUAUCCGGAAUUAUUGGGCGUAAAGGGUGCGUAGAUGGCAUCGUAAGUCUUUUGUAAAAAUGCUGG